rnacentral:pre_miRNA from 1 species
CUAAUACUCCCUCCGUUCGAAAAAGCUUGUCCCUCAAAUGGAUGUAUCUAGCACCAAGUUAGUGCUAAAUACAUCCAUUUGAGGGACAAGCUUGGGACAAGCUUUUUCGGACGGAGGGAAUACCUU